UACGUAGGGUGCAAGCGUUAAUCGGAAUAACUGGGCGUAAAGGGUGCGCAGGCGGAUUUGCAAGACAGAUGUGAAAGCCCUGGGCUUAACCUGGGAACUGCAUUUGUGACUGCAAGUCUAGAGUAUGGCAGAGGGAGGUGGAAUUCCAUGUGUAGCAGUGAAAUGCAUAGAGAUAUGGAGGAACACCGAUGGCGAAGGCAGCCUCCUGGGCCAAUACUGACGCUCAUGCACGAAGGCUAGGGUAGCGAACGGG
rnacentral:rRNA from 1 species